rnacentral:rRNA from 1 species
GAUGAACGCUGGCGGCGUGCCUAAUACAUGCAAGUCGAGCGAACAGACGAGGAGCAUGCUCCUCUGACGUUAGCGGCGGACGGGUGAGUAACACGUGGAUAACCUACCUAUAAGACUGGGAUAACUUCGGGAAACCGGAGCUAAUACCGGAUAACAUGUUGAACCGCAUGGUUCAACAGUGAAAGACGGUCUUGCUGUCACUUAUAGAUGGAUCCGCGCCGCAUUAGCUAGUUGGUAAGGUAACGGCUUACCAAGGCAACGAUGCGUAGCCGACCUGAGAGGGUGAUCGGCCACACUGGAACUGAGACACGGUCCAGACUCCUACGGGAGGCAGCAGUAGGGAAUCUUCCGCAAUGGGCGAAAGCCUGACGGAGCAACGCCGCGUGAGUGAUGAAGGUCUUCGGAUCGUAAAACUCUGUUAUUAGGGAAGAACAAAUGUGUAAGUAACUAUGCACGUCUUGACGGUACCUAAUCAGAAAGCCACGGCUAACUACGUG